AGAGUUUGAUCCUGGCUCAGGAUGAACGCUGGCGGCGCGCCUAACACAUGCAAGUCGAACGGUUAAAGCACCUCCGGGUGUGCAUAAAGUGGCGAACGGCUGAGUAACACGUGGGCAACCUGCCCCUCGCUCCGGGACAGCCUCGGGAAACCGUGGGUAAUACCGGAUACUCCGCGACCCCCGCAUGGGGGGCGCGGGAAAGCCCAGACGGCGAGGGAUGGGCCCGCGGCCUGUUAGCUAGUUGGUGGGGCAACGGCCCACCAAGGCGAUUAUGGGUAGCUGGGUUGAGAGACCGACCAGCCAGAUUGGGACUGAGACACGGCCCAGACUCCUACGGGAGGCAGCAGUGGGGAAUCUUGCGCAAUGGGCGAAAGCCUGACGCAGCGACGCCGCGUGCGGGACGAAGGCCUUCGGGUCGUAAACCGCUUUCAGCAGGGACGAGGCCGCGAGGUGACGGUACCUGCAGAAGAAGCCCCGGCUAACUACGUGCCAGCAGCCGCGGU
rnacentral:rRNA from 1 species